UACGUAGGGUGCAAGCGUUAAUCGGAAUUACUGGGCGUAAAGCGUGCGCAGGCGGUCAUGCAAGACAGAUGUGAAAUCCCCGGGCUCAACCUGGGAACUGCAUUUGUGACUGCAUGGCUGGAGUGCGGCAGAGGGGGAUGGAAUUCUGCGUGUAGCAGUGAAAUGCGUAGAUAUGCGGAGGAACACCGAUGGCGAAGGCAGUCCCCUGGGCCUGUACUGACGCUCAUGCACGAAAGCGUGGGGAGCAAACAGG
rnacentral:rRNA from 1 species